rnacentral:rRNA from 1 species
GAUCAACGCUGGCGGCGUGCCUAAAACAUGCAAGUCGGACGCUCCCUUCGGGGAGAGUGGCGGACGGCUGAGUAGCACGUGGGCGACCUGCCACCUGGUGGGGGAUAACCCCGCGAAAGCGGGGCUAAGACCGCAUGCGCUCUCGCGAUCGAAGUGAGAGCAAAGCAGAGAUGCGCCGGGUGAGGGGCCCGCGGCCGAUUAGCUAGUUGGUGGGGUAACGCCUACCAAGGCGAUGAUCGGUAGCCGGUCUGAGAGGAUGGCCGGCCAGACUGGGACUGAGACACGGCCCAGACUCCUGCGGGAGGCAGCAGUUAGGAAUUUUGGGCAAUGGCGCAAGCCUGACCCAGCAACGCCGCGUGGGCGACGAAGCCUUUCGGGUGUAAAGCCC